rnacentral:rRNA from 1 species
UUCAUGGAGAGUUUGAUCCUGGCUCAGGACGAACGCUGGCGGCGUGCCUAAUACAUGCAAGUCGAGCGGACAGAUGGGAGCUUGCUCCCUGAUGUUAGCGGCGGACGGGA